rnacentral:lncRNA from 1 species
GAACUUUCAUUUCUGUAUUCCAUCUGCGCCAUAGAAUGCGAAGUGAAAGGGCUAUCCUGUGAUCUGAAUUUCACCAGCAAUACUUUCAAAUGCCACCACUCCAGCGCCGUAGAAUGUGGGUAUUACGUCUGCUUAAAGCCAAAAUUUGAGUAACAUUAUCAUUAAAGCCUCGUAAAGGAGGCUUGGAGUAAUGAAUUAGAUGUUAUUCAUGCAUGAUGAAAACUUUGAAGUCAAUUUUGAAGUGCCCCAUCAGUGACUAAUGUGUCUAUAUGAAUAAACAAUCAUGCAGGGAUCUGGAAAAUCUUGACAAUCUUGAUUAACAUUCCGAUUGUCUUAUAUGGUAAGGCCUCCGAGUUUUCCUUCUUUUUUUUUUGUCCUUAUUUCUCGAUAAUUUUCUUUUUUGUUUCAGUGAUAAUAAUAGUGAUAUUUUCACUUAUAUCUUUCUUAUUUUGAAUUCGAUAUCCUCUCUUACUCACAGCAUACACAUGGUAUCCCGAAAAUUUUAAAAUUUCAGGUGAGGCUUAGUAGCUCUCUCUUCAUAUUAAAUCAAUUACUUAUGCUUCCUUUUUUUCUUCAAAUUAUACAGAAUUGUUUUGCACUCAAUUCUACUUGCAAAAACUCAGAUUACUUGAUUGAUUCAAUCAUGCAGGACUUGAAGAAGCGCUCAAGUAUGGCGACUAUGCGUCCAUUGGUAAGUUUGAGGGGGAGUUCCGCUAUAUUUACCAACUUAAUUUUGCAUAGUCAUCAUUAUUUGUAGUUGUACUACAACUAUCCCUCCUCUUGUAUAAUAAGGAUGAUUUGAAGAUUAUAAUUAUAACUUAAUUUAAUUCAUAUUCUUUUCUGAAUUUAAUUUAUGUUAUUCUUUUCUUAUCAGGAUACUGGAUAUUUCAUAAGAUUGGUAAGACUUCUCGUUCCCAACUUUUAAUUCUUCGUGGAAUAAUAUGUAUCUAUAAUGAAGCCUUUUUAUAUGAACACCUUUGAAUUUUUUUAUCCAACUGGGCCCUCAUUUAUAAAAUCAAAAGCUUAUAAUAAUAAUAAUAAUUGUUAUUAUUAUUAUUAGUAGUAGUAGCUUAGGGGAUUUGGAAUGCAUAUACUCUGGUCUAAAUUCAGUUUCUAGUCCACUUGUAUACAAAAAAAGUCAAAACUGUGGGAUCGGAAAUGAGGCCCCCAAAUCCAAAGCCCCAAUUUUUUCUUUACUACCCUGCAUAUUACUUCCAUAGAGAGCCCCCAAGCAGCACAGUUCAAAACUCAAAUCCAAUCUCAAAAGGUUUCACAAUACCUUUAUUUUUAGAUUAAUGAGCAAGGCAACUGCCUAAUGGUUUACUUGGUGGAUUUAAUAUUAAUUGAAUGCAUAUGAUCAUAAACAUUUUCUAAUAUAUUUCAUAUUUUUUGUGUUGCUUUAUGCAUGUUCAGUCAUAAUAUACAAUGGAGUACGAAUUGUACUUGGGAUGUUCAUGUUUGCCUAUUUAAUCUACAAGUUUCGGCGGAGACACUUAUCAUUAGAUGAUAAUAUUGAAGAAUUCCUACAAAAUCACAAAAGUCUUCAACUCAUAAAGUACUCUUAUUAUGAUAUAAAAAAGAUGACCAACAGUUUCAAGGAUAAAUUAGGACAAGGAGGCUUUGGCUCUGUUUAUAAGGGAAAGCUCAAGAGUGGUCGAGUUGUUGCAGUAAAAGUACUGGUUAUGUCUAAAGCUGAUGGGCAAGAUUUUAUCAAUGAAGUGGCUACAAUUGGAAGGAUCCAUCAUAUUAAUGUGGUGAAACUUGUUGGAUUUUGCAUAGAAGGUUCAAAAUGGGCUCUUAUAUAUGACUUCAUGCCUAAUGGAUCUCUUGAUAAGUUUAUUUUUCCGAAACAUGAAAACAAUACCCCCUUAAGUUGGGAGAGGUUGUAUAAGAUUGCACUUGGAGUAGGGCAUGGGAUUGAAUACUUACAUCAAGGUUGUGAUAUGAAAAUUCUACAUUUUGAUAUCAAACCACACAAUAUUCUUCUCGAUGAAGACUUCACUCCAAAAGUUUCAGAUUUUGGCCUUGCAAAGUUGUAUUCAACAGAUGAAAGUAUUGUUUCUCUCACAAAAGCAAGAGGAACAAUGGGAUACAUUGCUCCAGAAUUGUUCUACAAAAACAUUGGAUGCAUAUCAAAUAAGGCCGAUGUUUAUAGUUUUGGAAUGUUGUUGAUGGAAAUGGUGGGUAAAAGGAAGAAUUUGAAUGCAUUAGCAGAUCACUCAAGUCAAAUAUACUUCCCAUUAUGGAUAUAUGAUAAAUUUGACCAAGGGGAGGACAUUGAAAUGGGAGAUGCCACAGAUAAUGAAAAAAUAUCUGUAAAAAAAAUGGUGAUAGUUGCAUUAUGGUGUAUACAGAUGAAGCCCACAGAUCGUCCUUCGAUGAGCAAAGCAUUGAAGAUGCUAGAAGGUGAGAUUGAACUCUUGCAAAUGCCUCCUAAGCCUUCUCUAUAUUAUGAUGUAUUGAAGGUAGAGGAUCAGGUGAGCAAUCAAGUAGGAGUACCGGUUUCAUCACUUAAUGCCAUGGAUACAAUCACCUUAACCGGAAGGUAGUGCCACAUUGUAUCUACUUGCAUGCUUUGUCCCUUGAUAAUGUUUUCUUGGCUUAGAUGUAAGGAUCGUUGCUUUUCAUGUAUCAAAUGUAUUUGUCCUAAAGCACUGGCUUGGUUCCUAGAAGGUCUCCAUACAUGAGUAGUCUUCUCCAAGGCCUUUGAAAUUCUUAAAUAAAGUUUUGUUUCCUUUCAAGCAAGUUUCGUUCAUUUUUUAAUAUUCUGAAGUAAAAAUAUUUAUGGUUGCAGAGUAGUGAUUAAAGACUAGUGACAAACCAUAUUACAAUCAUCUUGAUUCAUGGAGCUGAAAUUUUAUUUCAAUAUAUAGAAUUUAACAUUUUUUUCAGCAAGUGCUGUAUUAGAGCUAAAAAUUCGUAGGUAGCAGCUUCGCAAACUGUACUACCAAGUGUAGCAGCUUCGACUACCACUAGGUAGCAUGCUUCCUACAAACAAAGGAAAGUUCCAUAUGGGGGUUGGUUUGGCAUAUCCCUAUUUAAUCGUAAGUUAGCACUCUGGUGGCAACAAAAUGGAGAGAAAAGGAAAAGAAGACAGUGUCCUUGGCAAAACUUAGGUGGGCUUAAUCAAACACAAAAGAAAUUGAACUAUCCAAAAGUGCUGGUCUAAUCUAAAUGUGUAGGCCCAAGCGUACAAACACAAAAAUAAACUGCCCAAAAGUCUAGGUUCAAUCCAAAAAUAUAGGCCCCACCCAGCUGUACAGACACAAAUCUAGGUUUAAUCAUCCAAAUUUCUAUAAAAUUAUAAAUGGGUCAAUGAUUAUAUGUGGAUAACUAAGUUUAUUUAUCACCAAAUUUUUUUAUUUAUUUUUAAAUUUUUUAAUGUUUACUUAUUUUCAGUUGUUUUUUUUUACUUUUUUGGUUCACAUCCUCCCAAAAUAAACCUCUACAAAUAAAUUAAUUGCAACAUUCAUACUACUUUUUAUAUUUCAUGCAUAUAGAAUAAUGGUAAAAAAAAUAUAAAUUAAAAAAAAACCCCAGAAAAAACAAUAAAAAUAGAACAACAUGAAAAAGAAAUAAAAAAUAAAUUAAUUUACAUUAAAAAAAAAAAAACUAUUAGAAAAAGAUAGAAGAGGGGGAACAAAAAAAACUAAAAAGGUAUCUUUAAUACACAACUUCUUGAUAAAAUACUAAAAUUAUGUCUUCAUCACAACUUCAUAAUACUUUACUAAUAAUGUAAUGAAAUCAUGUCUUCGAGGCUUUGGGACGGGUUGGGUCCCAAGUAAUUAUCAUUCCCACUCUAAUAAAAACAUUUAAACAAGGUGAGGCGGGUUCCACCCCGUGUAAUUUCUUUUAAUUUUCAAUUUUUUUUAAACAAUUAAUUUUAACUUCUUCUUCUUUUUUUAUUAAAAAUAUAUAUUAUAAAUAAAUAAAAUAUUAUAGUUUUUUUAUAACUUGUGUUAUUGAAAACUAAUUUGUGUUAAAAAUUGGAACAUAAAAAAUUAAAUUAAAUUACUUUUUAAAAUUAGCUAUAUAUAAUCGGGGAAUAGAGGGAGAAGGUAAUGUCUCGAAUCUCAAACCUACUCUUAACCUAUUUAUUUUAAUUUCAAAUUCAUUUCAUUAGGAGCAAAGUAGAGCAGGUACCUUAAAAAAUUUGUUUCAUUAUCAUCCCUUUUCAAUACAUUACUUCAUAAUGAUAUACUAAAAUUAUGUCUUGAAAACAUGAUUUUAAGACAAAGAACUAUAUGACUCUUUUUUUUUUUUUUAAACUUAUCCGAUACAAAAUGACAUAAUUUUAUCAAUAAUUAAACUAUCAAGUUUUUACAAAUGAUUCUUUUAAUUUAUCAAAAAUCAAGGCAAACAGCCAGUUUUGAAAAGGAACUUUUUUUCAAGGGGCUUUGAAAAAAAAUAAAAACAUUUUAAAAAUAUUUAUUAAAAUAUAAUACUUUUGAAACUAUUCGCAAAUCAAUUGCAUUAUUAAGGAAUUGAAUUGAAUUGAAAGUUAUCUUUUGAAUAGAUAAUUUUAAUUAAAUUUUAAAAUUAUUUUAAAAAAUCAUAUUUAAUUUUUUUUCAAAAAUAAUUAUAGACCCACAUUUUUUAAGUGCGUCCCCACUCGAAAGGGCGAGACUCUCUUUUUUUAUUUGUGAAAAAUUGAUUUUUUUUAAAAAAAAUUAAAGUUGCCGCUUAUUUCAAUUUAUUUUUAAAAGGAAAAACAAAAUGAGAAAAAAAAAACUCUAUCAGACUCAUUUUUUGGAAAAAGACAUAUUUGCAAAAACUAAAUCUAAAUUUGAGGGUUACGAUACCUAUUUGGUUUCUAGUAAGCGAAUUGAAGGAAUUAUGAUAAUUAAUUAAUUAAUUAUGGCUUGCAUAUCUACAGUAAGUGAAUUGAGAUAAUUAUGGUAAGUAAUUAAUUAAUCAUAAAUACCAAGAUUAAGAAGACAAAUCAAUGUACAAAAAAAUAAUCAUAAAAGUAAAUUAUAAUAGUAUACAAGGUAAAUGACAAGAUAAUUAAUCAAAUUGAUUUAUUAAUCUAAUUAAAAAAAGAAUAUUUUAAAUUAAAAACAAUUUCAAAUGAAUGGUUUCAAUUUAUUUAUUUAUAAAAAUGUUUCAAUUCAUUUCCAAUAAAUGGUUUAAUUCAAUUUUAUUUGUGUUUAAUUUUUAAAAAAAGUAUCAAAAAAAUUUAUUACAAAAUUUUCAAUUUUGCAAUAAAAAGAUUUUUACUUUUACCAGAAAAAGAAUGAAAUUUUAAAACUUUAUUUGCAAAAGUAUUUCAAUUUGAUUUUAUUUACAAGGGAAUUAAUUUCUUUACAAACUUUAUUUACAAAAAUAUUUUCAACCCAACUUUAUCAAGAAAAAUGAUUUCUACAACUUCAAUUUGCAAAAGACUCUCAUCCUAAUCUCAUAAAAAAAAAUUAUUUAAAAUCUCUAUUUAUAAAAAAUACUUUUAAUCUCAUUCUAAUUCUAAUGAAGGAAACAUAAUUUAUUUAAAAAUCAUUUUUUGGGGACAAUUUUUAUUUAUAAAACAAUUUUUUUAACAAAUUUUAUUAAACAAAUAAAUUUCCAAACAAUAGUUGGUAAAAACAAUUUUUUGAAUUUUAUUAAAAAUAAUUUUCUGGAUUUUCCUAAAAACAUUUUUUUUAAUUUUUAUAAAAAAAAAACUUUCUUUUAUUAAAAAUAAUAUUUUCUAAACUAUUGUUUUUAUUAAAACGUAAUUGCUAACUAUUCCUUUUAUUAAAACAAAAUUUUUAAGUUAUCAACUAUUCAAUUCUGCAUACACUUAUAUACAUAAAAACAUUUACAUAAACUAAUAAAAAUUAAAUUAAAUAGAAAUAAGGAAAUAAAAUAUGUACCUAGACAAGCCUACAACAAGCUCAAUGCCCAAUUUACAACUUUCGUAAACCUCAUUUUCUUCUAUGAAAUUUGGUUCUCCACAUGUCACAAAUCCGUGCAGUCCAUGCAAAACAAAAAUGAGCCCAGAUGUAAAUAUCCAAAAAUAUGCAAAGCCCAAAAUAAUUAUUCAAACUCAAGUUCAAAUUUUAAAUUGGUCCAAUAAAUUUUACCAAUAAAAAUAGAUCUAAAUUAAUUAAUAUGCCCAACAAAAAUAUCUCUCAUAUCAAUAUCCUUAUCCAAUAAUCGCGCAAUUUAGUCAAGCCCGAAAUAUCAUAAAACAAAAUAAAUUUAAUUAAACCUAAAUUUAAUAUCACAUAUUCCAAACUUGAUAUGCGAAUCCAAAUCCAAAAUCCAAUUAUUACUAAAUCCAAAUAAAACAUACAUUAACAAACAAGACCCGACUCAAAAUACAAGGCUUAAAAUAUAUCCAAACUAUCUAAACUUAACCCAAAGCUUAGAAAUAAUAUCCCCAGUAAAUGCAAACCCAAAAAUAAUAUAAAUUCGCUCAAACAAACAAUCUUAAUAAUCAAUAAUAAAUUACUGUAAAAAUUAAAUAAAAAUAA